rnacentral:rRNA from 1 species
ACAGGCGCUCGAUAAGAGUCUUGUAAUUGGAAUGAGUACAAUUUAAACCCCUUAACGAGUAACAAUUGGAGGGCAAGUCUGGUGCCAGCAGCCGCGGUAAUUCCAGCUCCAAUAGCGUAUAUUAAAGUUGUUGCAGUUAAAAAGCUCGUAGUUGGAUCUAGGGACGCGCAUUUCAAGCGCCCGUGUCGUCGGGUCAAACCGGCGACUGCGUUGGCGUUGCGGGCUCGGUCCGUCGGUGCCACUAAAAGCACUGGCGUGUCAACCGGCCCGCCCGUCCCCUCCUUCUGGAUUCCCGUUCCUGCUAUUGAGUUAGUGGGGACGUCACAGGGGGCUCAUCGUCGUCAUGCAAAUGGCGGCGGUGGGUCCCUGGGGCCCAGAUCGUUUACCGUGAAAAAAUUAGAGUGUUCAAAGCAGGCAGAUCCAAUUCUCUGCCACCGAAUACAUUAGCAUGGGAUAAUGGAAUAGGACCCUGUCCUCCUAUUUUCAGUUGGUUUUGGCAGCGCGAGGACUAGGGUAAUGAUUAAUAGGGAUAGUUGGGGGCAUUAAUAUUUAAUUGUCAGAGGUGAAAUUCUUGGAUUUAUGAAAG